GGUUCCAUGGUGUAAUGGUUAGCACUCUGGACUCUGAAUCCAGCGAUCCGAGUUCAAAUCUCUGAAUCCAGCGAUCCGAGUUCAAAUCUCGGUGGGACCU